GGGGAGAAAUACUAUUCUUCAUAUCGUAGGACAAGACUCGUUUAUAUAUGACAAUCAUUAUUUUAACUUAUUAUUAUUUGUUUUUAGUUCCUUAAUUUUUUUGGGGAAAAUACACAACACAGCAACCAGAUUCUGACACAUUGCUUUAACUAUAUUUUUUUACGACAAUUCUCAUCAGGCGGAACUGGAAGUAUUUACAGAUAACGGAUGAUUCGUCUGCUGUGUUCGCACUUAAUUUAAAAUUUUACAGAUAUAUAUAUAUAUAUAUAUUCAAAGACAUUACGUUUAAGCUUAUAUAUGUUUUAUCUCAAUUAGCUUUUCAUGGUUUUAUGCUGUUAUUAUUAUUUAUUUUGUCCGGGGUGUAACUUACAGUGAUCUACAGUGAAGGCUAUUACAACAAAUUGUAUGAAAUGUAGCUGCAAGCAUCACAUCUGUAUCAGGACAUAUCUCUUGAGUCUUGAAUUCAAAGCCUUUUCAGAAAAGGAAAGAAGCACAUUGAGAUUAGGAAUCUCUUUUACAAGAGCGCUCUGGCCAAGACUGACAGACACAGCACGUUUGAGUAUAACAAAUAACAUCCAACAAUACAUACACAUAUACUCACACAAGCAUAUCCAUUAAAUUUCAAUAUCAAUACAUAACUAGCCAAAACAUCUAACAACCCGAUGAUUCAUUCUCCAAAGCAUUUGAAACUACUUUAAAAGUCUCCAACGAAACCACUUCCCUCAGUUUCAAUGUACUUUGCAAACAAUUCCAGGCAGAGGGGGCAGCAUAUUUAAAUGUCUUUUUCCCCAAUUCAGUACGUGCCACUGGAGCACACAGUAAAAAUAUAUCCUGUGACCGGAGGCUAUAGCUACAAGCAUACUUUUUAAAUAUGUAUGUACACAGAUAGGAAUGAAGUAAACCCAGGAUAGAUUUAUAAAUCAAAACAUGCCAGUGUUUUUUGUCUUCGGAUGGACAACGCAGACCAGCCAACCCAAGCAGACAACACCCUGUGAUGAGUGAGGGUUUUAAGAUUUGUUAUGAACCUCAGUGCACCAUGAUAAACAGUGUCUAAAGCUGUGAAGAUGCAUGCAUAUAUAUAUUGGAGUCAGUAUAAAAAACAGAAAAAAGAAAUUAAGAUUUAUUCAGCAAAGGAAUUGAUCAAAGACUAUUUCUUAUUUUACAGAAGAUUUCUAUUGCAAAUAAAUG